GGAUGAACAUGUACUCAAUGUACUGUGGGAGACUACAACUUUGGAAAAUGAGAGAUGGGUCUUGAUUACAUUUGCAUUUCAUGGGCUUUUCAGGAGUGAAGGCAUUCUACAUGGCAGAUUUCUUUGUAGCAGAUGUUGGUGACUGAAUUUUGUUCUUCUUUUAACUAUCAUCUCUUUACAAAAUAUAGAUUCUAUCUUACUGGUUGCUUGAAAUGCUUUUCAGUCGUGGGUUCCACUUGAGUAUCAUGCUAUCGACAGCUUACCAUGUUAUGUUGAAUGAGCAACAGCUUACCAUGUUCUAGCUCUUUGCUUUUGGAUAAUGUUUGUGAAUAAACCUUUUAGAAGGGCUUCGUGUCCAGAAAUGCGAUUCCCCGGUACUGACUAGCUCCUAUAUGCAAAAUGCUGCAAAAUAUGGGAAAAUUUCAUUGUAAUGAUGAUGAUUAUGAUGAUUUAUUUGCUAUUGCACCUGGUUAUGGCAAUUGGUUUGGGUGUUUAUAUAGAAAGUAAUGCGAGAUUCGUUUUUGAUGAGUUUUGUUGAUAAUAAAGCCGUGGUUUUUCCAAUGGAUACAUCUUUUUCAUUGAACAGGUCAAGAAAACGGUUUACACUGUGUUGCAUGUUGGUGAUGUGAUUCGAUUGGGCCAGUAGCUGCCACCCCACAUUGAAUUACUAGUUGCAGCAGUCACACAAAUCAAUGGACCUGACAGCAUAUAUGGGAUCAUCCAAUCAUACAAGGUGAAUUGUUUUAUCAUAGUUGCAUGAAUUUUGUUUUGGUUUUGUACUGCCACCCCACAAUAUUUCUUCAAAAUGUUAUCAAGUAUGAACAGCUAGGAGGCAGGAGCAGGAGCAGGAGCAGUAGCACAAAUCAAAAA